UCCGUAGGGGGCAAGCGUUGUCCGGAUUUAUUGGGCGUAAAGAGCGUGUAGGCGGCCAGACAAGUCUGCUGUGAAAACUCGAGGCUCAACCUCGAGCUGUCGGUGGAAACUGUCUGGCUAGAGUCCGGAAGAGGAGAGUGGAAUUCCUGGUGUAGCGGUGAAAUGCGCAGAUAUCAGAAAGAACACCUAUGGCGAAGGCAGCUCGCUGGGACGGUACUGACGCUGAGACGCGAAAGCGUGGGGAGCGAACAGG
rnacentral:rRNA from 1 species